GAUGAACGCUGGCGGCGUGCCUAAUACAUGCAAGUCGAGCGGUAAGGCCCCUUCGGGGGUACACGAGCGGCGGACGGCUGAGUAACACGUAGGAACGUACCCCAAAGUGAGGGAUAAGCACCAGAAAUGGGUUCUAAUACCGCAUGUGCUCUCAGGAGUAAAGCUUUAUGCGCUUUGGGAACGGCCUGCGUCCGAUUAGCUAGUUGGUGAGGUAAAUGCUCACCAAGGCGACGAUCGGUAGCUGGUCUGAGAGGAUGAUCAGCCAGACUGGGGCUGAGAACGGCCCAGACUCCUACGGGAGGCAGCAGUAGGGAAUUUUCCACAAUGGGCGAAAGCCUGAUGGAGCAACGCCGCGUGCAGGAUGAAUGCCUUAGGGUUGUAAACUGCUUUUAUCUGUGACGAUUAUGACGGUAACAGAUGAAUAAGGACCUGCUAACUACGUGCCAGCCGCCGCUGUAAAAC
rnacentral:rRNA from 1 species